rnacentral:rRNA from 1 species
AGAGUUUGAUCCUGGCUCAGAUUGAACGCUGAUGCUUUACACUGCAAGUCGAACGGUAACAGGUUAAGCUGACGAGUGGCGAACGGGUGAGUAAUGCAUCGGAACGUGCCCGGUCGUGGGGGAUAACGCAGCGAGAGCUGCGCUAAUACCGCAUACGAUCUGAGGAUGAAAGCGGGGGACCAAGGCCUCGCGCGAUCGGAGCGGCCGAUGUCAGAUUAGGUAGUUGGUGGGGUAAAGGCUCACCAAGCCGACGAUCUGUAGCUGGUCUGAGAGGACGACCAGCCACACUGGGACUGCUCACCAAGCCGACGAUCUGUAGCUGGUCUGAGAGGACGACCAGCCACACUGGGACUGCUCACCAAGCCGACGAUCUGUAGCUGGUCUGAGAGGACGACCAGCCACACUGGGACUGAACACGGCCCAGACUCCUACGGGAGGCAGCAGUGGGGAAUUUUGGACAAUGGGCGCAAGCCUGAUCCAGCAAUGCCGCGUGCAGGAAGAAGGCCUUCGGGUUGUAAACUGCUUUUGUACGGAGCGAAAAGGUCUUCCCUAAUACGGGAGGCUGAUGACGGUACCGUAAGAAUAAGCACCGGCUAACUACGUGCCAGCAGCCGCGGUAAUACGUAGGGUGCGAGCGUUAAUCGGAAUUACUGGGCGUAAAGCGUGCGCAGGCGGUUUUGUAAGACAGGCGUGAAAUCCCCGGGCUCAACCUGGGAAUGGCGCUUGUGACUGCAAAGCUGGAGUGCGGCAGAGGGGGAUGGAAUUCCGCGUGUAGCAGUGAAAUGCGUAGAUAUGCGGAGGAACACCGAUGGCGAAAGCAAUCCCCUGGGCCUGCACUGACGCUCAUGCACGAAAGCGUGGGGAGCAAACAGGAUUAGAUACCCUGUAGUCCACGCCCUAAACGAUGUCAACUGGUUGUUGGGUCUUUACUGACUCAGUAACGAAGCUAACGCGUGAAGUUGACCGCCUGGGGAGUACGGCCGCAAGGUGAAACUCAAAGGAAUUGACGGGACCCGCACAAGCGUGAUGAUGUGUUUAUUCGAUGCACGCGAAA